rnacentral:rRNA from 1 species
ACGGGUGAGUAACACGUGACUAACCUACCUUCCAGUGGGGGAUAACCUCGGGAAACCGGGGCUAAGACCGCAUAAUCUCGCGAGGUGAGAAUCCUUGUGAGCAAAGGGGUAAGACGCUGGUAGAGGGGGUCGCGGCCGAUUAGCUAGUUGGCGGGGUAACGGCCCACCAAGGCGAUGAUCGGUAGCCGGCCUGAGAGGGCGCACGGCCACACUGGAACUGAAACACGGUCCAGACUCCUACGGGAGGCAGCAGUGGGGAAUUUUGCACAAUGGGGGAAACCCUGAUGCAGCAACGCCGCGUGGAGGAUGAAGUCCCUUGGGACGUAAACUUCUUUCGACCGGGACGAUAAUGACGGUACCGGUGGAAGAAGCCCCGGCUAACUCCGUGCCAGCAGCCGCGGUAAUACGGGGGGGGCAAGCGUUGUUCGGAAUCAUUGGGCGUAAAGGGCGCGUAGGCGGUGCGGUAAGUCUUCUGUGAAACCCCUGGGCUCAACCCAGGGCCUGCAGGGGAAACUGCCGUGCUGGAGUGUGGGAGAGGUGCGCGGAAUUCCCGGUGUAGCGGUGAAAUGCGUAGA